ensembl:lincRNA
AGGGCAAAUGCAAGGUACUUCGAGGAGAUAGCCUCAGUAAAACAGCAGUGUAGUAACAGGAGGCAGAGAGGUGAACACCCGUGUGGGGACAACGAUGAAUCCAGAUUCAUCAGGAUGAGCAUCCAGGCCCCACCCAGACUCCUGGAGCUGGCAGGGCAGAGCCUGCUGAAAGACCAGGUCUUGGCCAUCUCUGCCGUGGAGGAGCUGCCCAGGGAGCUCUUCCCCGCACUAUUCAUGGAGGCCGUCAGCAGGAGACGCUUCCAGACUCUGUCGCUGAUGGUGCAGGCCUGGCCCUUCACCCGCCUCCCACUGGGAUCUCUGAUGAAGAGCCUUCAUCUGGAGACCUUAAAAGCAUUGCUGGAGGGGCUUCAUAUGCUGCUGACACAGAAGGGUCACCCCAGGAGGUGGAGACUUCAAGUGCUGGAUUUGCGGGAAGUUGAUGAGAAUUUAUGGACCGGGGCCCUGUCCUGCUCCCCAGCGGCCAUGAGUAAGAGGCAGACGGCAGAGGACUGUCCAAGGACGGGAGAGCACUAGCCCUGGAAGGUGGUCAUAGACAUCUGUAUCGAGGAAAUACUCCAGGAUGAAUGCCUGAGAUUCCGCUUUGCUGUAGUAAGUUGGUGAAUCAUCUCACACAGAUUAAAUAUCUCAGGAAGUCAUUGAAAGUAAUAUCCCUGAAUAGCAUUCAGGAGCUGGAAAUUUAAGACCUGUCCUGGCCGCGUCUGAUAAGAAAGCGUCAUUCUUACCUGAAGGAGAUAAAGAAUCUUCGCAAACUCGUUUUUUUUUGUUUUGUUUUUUUUUUUUAAAAACAGGGUUUUACCAUGUUGGUGAGGCUGGCCUUGAACUCCCGACCUCAGGUGAUCCACCCGCCUUGGCCUCCAAAGUGCCUGGAUUACAGGCGUGAGCCACUACGCCCAGCCGCAAACUUGUUUUCUACAGGUGCUAUGAUUACACGACAGACCAUGACGUCCAGGAGCAGUUAAGUCACCAAAUUCAGCUCUGUGUUUCUCAGCCUGGAACACCUCCAGAUGCUUAGAAUAGAAAUGGUCACCUCCUUCAGCGGGCACCUGGAACAGCUGAUCAUGUGAGAAGGGAUGGCACACUUUCUCUGCGGACCACAGCACAGCCUGUUUUUGUGACAGCAAACACUGGAAGGCUUGUCCUGUGUGCCAGCCAGUGGUGAUGGAACAGGGAAGGGGACACCAGAAUGUCUGCACAUUGCCCCCUUCAGUGCUACGUGUCCUGGAGGGGCUCUCACAGGACCCCUCCAAUAAAGGCAGAGGGGUCUCUUGAGGUAGAGGCUAAAGAGGGACAUUAUGUACAAGCUAGUUAGUGGGGUUUCAGCUCUACUGAGGGUACACGUGUGAGUUUCUUGUUACGAAGUGUGUUUAAAGUUGAUAUGAUGGUGUAGAACAGGAAACACAGAGGAAGGUGUGUGAGGUGGGAAAGCAAAUCCAACCUGUGCCUUUCACAGUAGAAGCUCUGUCCUCAGCAGCUUCGUGACCCUGAAUGAUCCUGUCUCUGAUUCCUGGUCUGUAAAAGGUGCUUUUGAGCUCCAGGGAAAGUAAUUGACAUGGAAAAUGCAUGCCUCUGGGAUGCGGGUGAGGGAGCAGGCUUGAGAAUGGUAAAAAGUGGUAGGUGGUUUGCAGAUGCGGGCGUGUCAGGGAGCCCCUGCCGGCAGGUAGCCCCCGCUGACGGCCCUCGACCUUGCUCAGGUGUGUUCUUCACACACAUCUCCCACUGGGUUCCUCAGGCCCAGAGAUGAAGUUUACUGCUAAAACAUGAAGAGGCUUUAGAGAUAUUGCAGGCUUGAACCAGUCCCACAAGCAAUGGUGAAAGGGCUGAGCCUAAAAUGGGACUGCCCCUGAAUGACCAGAGUGCUCAUCACGCAGUGACUUGCAUGCGGACCAUCACGAGAUGAUGGGAACACACUUGUGUUUGGGUGAAGCAGGCUUCUCCCUUGAGCUUAUUCCCCACUGCCUUCAUCUACCUGGUACCAUUGCCCAGAACUAACUUCUUGAUCUCCCCAGGUGCCUCCAGAACCCUUUAGAGGGCUAGGAUUUAACUUGGAGCAAACUACUGAAAGAGGAUUUAAAGUGCUUCUCACAGUACCCAAGCCUCAGGUACCUGAAGCGUCCUAAUCUCAGCAAUGUGUGUCUGUUAGGAGUCAGCCUUGAGGCCCUCACAGUUCUGCUUCAGGAAGUUGCUGCCUCUCUGGAGACCCUCAACUUGGAGCACUGUCUGAUCAACUACUCCCAACUCCGUGCCUGCCUGCCUGCCCUGAGCCACUGCUCCCAGCUCACCACCUUCUGCUUUGGUGGAAAUCGGGUGACUGUGGACGACCUGAAGCACCUGCUGCACCACACCAAUGGGCUGAGCAAGUUAAGCCUAGAGACGUAUCCUGCCCCUCGGGAGAGUUAUGAUUCCUGGGUUAAUGUGGAUUGGGAGAUCUUGGCCCAACUUCGGGCUGAGCUGAUGUGGACACAGGGAAGUGAGGCAGCCCAGGAGCGUCUUCAUUGGUCCCACCCCCUGUCGUUCCUGUGGCUCAUCGCCAUUGGUCCCGCCCCCUGUCGUUCCUGUGGCUCAUCACCAUUGGUCCCGCCCCCUGUCGUUCCUGAGGCUCAUCGCCAUUGGUCCCGCCCCCUGUCGUUCCUGAGGCUCAUCGCCAUUUGAGGAACUGGAGCUCCAUCUUUGCUGCUAGGGAAGGCGCGCCUGGCGGGGUAGAUCAAUCCAGUUUUCUUCCAGGUACUUGGACACUAAAAUGUAGUAUGCAGAUGCAAGUUAUUUUUGUUUCUUCUUUUUUCCUUUUGAAAUAAUUUUAAAAUUUUUAUGAAAAAAUUGGACACAGGAUUUCGCUCUGUUGCCCCAGCUGGUCUCAAACCGCUGGGCGCAUGACAUUCUCUUGCCUCAGCCUCCAAAAGGGUUGGGAUUACAGGCGUGAGCCGCUGUGCCCAGGCCACACGUGCAACUUAAAGGAAGCACAGAUCUCUCUGUUUCAGGGAGGUGCUCAGUGUGAGAGGAACUAACAAAAGGGCAGGGGGCAAGACCCAGAGUCAGAACUAGAACCUAAAGUUCCCCAGUAAUGAAAAUGUUAUCCCUGCAAGGAAGGUUACAAAGAAACAUCAGAAAUAAAGAGAACCUGAAUGAAAACUUUCUGGUGUCCUCUGUAAUUGAUUAACCUGUUUUAACAAUUUAUACAUCAGAAGCCUUUAUUUAUAGAGUUGCUGAUGGAAAAACAAGGUACUAAGCUGUCUGUGUGACUGAGGUUCAGCUGCAGAACAUCAAAGCAACCAGAUAAAUUCAGAUCAUUUUGAGGCAUUCCCACCCAUUCUUCAUUUUUUUUUUUUUUUUGAGACAAAAGUCACCCAGGCUGCAGUGCAGUGAUGCCAUCUGGGCUCACUGCAGUCCUUUCGGGGCUUAAGUGAGUCUCGUGCCUCAACCACUGAAAUAGCUGGAACUACAGGCACGUGCAAGCAAGCCUGGCUGAUUUUUGUGUUUUUAGUAGAGACGAGGUUUUUCCAUGACGACAAUCUCACAAAAUCUCAGGCAUGGUGGCGCAUGUCUUUAAUCCCAGCUACUCGGGAGGCUGAGGCAGGAGAAUCACUUGAACCUGGGAGGCAGAGGUUGUAGUGAGCCAAGAUUGUGCCACUGCACUCCAGCCUGGGCAUCAGAGUGAGACUCUGUCUGAAAGAAAAAAAAAAAAAACACUCUCAUCCAAAGUCCCUGUGACCUUUGCUUAACUGUGACAUCAGAGAAACCUGACAUAGUUGAGUCUAUCUUGCUUCUGAUCUCCAAGCUACCUUUGAUUAGUCCUGGGCAUAGGCCAUACUAACAAAAGUGGGAAUUUAGUUAACACCUUAACUUGAAAGCAAGGAUGAUGACAUCCCCUUCCUGAAACUACCCCCUUCCUUGCUCAGGGACUGAACACUGGCUUUUUAAAAUCCAGGAAAGGCCAUAGGAUUAGGAUGAUGAGGAGGGGCCUAAAUUCUGCUAAGGGAUCGGUGUAGUUCUGUAAUUCCUUACAGCUCGGGUGUACUCUGGCCUGAGGUCACAAAAUAGAGAUCACCUGGUGGGUGUAGUUUCUAUAACCCCUCACUGCUCAGGGGUCAUAUGGCUACAGGCCACAAGAUUUGUUACUUCUCUAAUCCUUUUUUUUUGAGGUGGAGUUUUGCUCUUGUUGCCCGGCUGGAGUGCAGUGGAGUGAUCUCAGCUCACUGCAACCUCUGCCUCUUGAGUAGCUAGGACUACAGGCACAUGCAUGCCACCACUCCAAGCUAAUUUUUGUAUUUUUAGUAGAGAAGGG